GUGCUCACUUCAGCAGCAUGUAUACCAAAAUUGGGACUAGAAAGAGAUUAGCGUGGUCCUUGCACAAGGAUGACGUGCAAAAAUUUGUGAAGCAUGACAUUUUG